ACCUGAUAACACAUUAAAAUGGAGGAGAAUUAACUAGAACCCGGAUGUCACAGAGUUACUAAGAAUUAACUACCUGGCUGGGUGUAUGUACAGGCACAAAAAUGUAACUAACAUUUCUGAACAGUGAUAAACAAUAUAAAAUGAAUUAAUUCCACGAGACUUCGUAAAAGAACAACUCCGUGGACUAGCAUCUUUUGUUGUCAACAACCAUGCAAGAAAUGAGAUUAAAACACGUUGAAAGCUUCCUGCUGCAAAGCAUUCUCUUUAAGCUUCCAUUUCAUCAGAAAAUUUGUGUUCAGAAUCUCUAAAAGCUGCCUCUGCAGGCUUUAAAACCAAUAUAAGGGGAAGAUAGUCAUGGACAAAGUAAGUUAUGAAGUGGUAGCCCAGAUUGCUGUAUGGCAAUAAUACUAUCAUUUUGUCAUAAGAUAAAUCAAAGUUAAUAUGAAUUGAAUUCACACUUUAAUCCCUCUUCCUUUUAAUGGAUUUUUUUUUCCAAUACAGUCAAAUUUUAGAUUAACAAGUACAUAUAUGCAUGCUGUAUACAAGAUGAAGCGUCAUUUCAUAAUCAAUAUUAGAUAAUUUGACAAGAGAAAUACUUAAUUCCAAGUGUUAUAUGUGAUGAAGUAUAAUAGUUAGGAUAACUUUUAAGUUUGAUAAUAGUUGUCAAAGCCACAUUCUGAAGACUACCAAGUCACAAUAAGGAUUUCCUUGCAUCAAAGUUUGAACAAAAAAGAUAGAAAAGAAAUGCCCAAAUGAACCAUCAUUUUAGAUAAUGUAUGAGAAGGCUUUUUCAAAGGCAAGUCCAAACGUAAAUUGAACAGGAAGAGGGGCCUCUAGUCAUCCCACAUAAGUUUUUCAAGUUCACUUAAAUCUUGACAUUCUUCAAAAACGAAUUACAAUAUUAUGAGUAUCCAACAUUAAACAAAAUUUAUUUAUUCGCAUAGAAUCAAGAUAUACAGCACAGUAACAAUUUACAAAGGAUAAGACUGAGCACUUUUAACAUUCCAAAGGAAAAAAGGAUAUCCAUUAAGUCACAGAUUACUGAAAAUGUGAAAGGCAAAUUAGAAUAGCAAAAGCACCAAUACAUAUGAAUGGGAACUACAGAAACAAUGAUGUAAAAUAACAACAUCCAUACAGAGAAUAUCAGAUACAGCAACUAAAUGAGGGAAUAUCUAGUAGUCUGUUGUCUUUACUGCAUGGAUAGAAGAAACUUAGAGCUUUCUGAACCAGUUUUCUAGUAGAUUAUAGUUUGUUUUAAAUUUCUUAACUUGAUAAGAUGAUUUUCUUAGUUGGCUAACCAUUUGCUUUUGAAUUCAAGGUAGAACUUAACUUUCUAAAAAUUUCAAGUAUGACCAGCGCAAAAAAAAUUAUAAUUUUGCUGUAGCUUGGGUUGAGGUAGUUCUAAAGUUGCAUAAUAAUUGAAAAUGAUUUAGUUAUCUAUUUAGGACCCUUCUUAUCAACGAACUUGGGGACUUGAUGGCAGCUUCCAGCAUAAGUAUUGUUUAAGAAAAAGUGCUUUCACCUACCUCUUUCUGCUAGAUUUUCUUUCUCUAAAAGGGACUGGAACUCCACUUCUCAUUACUCUCCUAACAACUCUCUGAUCUAAAACCAAAAACUCAUAUUCUUUUUUCUCAUAUCAUCCACAUACAUUGAAUGGAAAGAAAAGUACUUGAUGGGAAUCUGUAGUGCCCAUAGAUGCAUCCAGCCUUUUCCCCUUGGGUAGGUUCAUCUGCUUUUUAUGCUCCUUUUUUUUUCUAAUGAUGAAUUUGUUAUGCCUCAAGUCAUAUCAAUUUAGUAGUGAAGCAAAUUAUAGUUUUACCGGAAUUUUUUUUUUCUGUUUCCAAAUACUCAGAACAAAGACUCAGGUGCACAAGCAAGUUGAGGAAGCCAGGACAAGGGAACAAGUUAUAGCCAACUGGAGGAUACCGAUGCAUGAAGAAUAAAUAAGUAAUAAAUAAAUAAAACUUAUAUUUUAGGAACAACAGAGUUUAUUCUAUUUUGUAUGUUAAUAACGAAAAAAAUAGUUAACAUUACUAAGGUUUUCAGAAACUCAUGGUAGUUUUAUAACUUCAUAAUGUAAGCAGUUUAGAGUUUUAGUUAAUUAAGUACAAACUUGAUUUUGGAUAGAAAUGUAGUAAGUGUGUAUCCAGGCAUCCUUUCUUUGAGAUAAAUUGCUGUUAAAAAUUCGAGUAUAGACUACUUGCUUAUGAGGAUUACAAUGUAAAGUGAUUCACCUAAAUACAUGCAAAACUUUGGGUUUGGUGGUUAUACAAUAUAUUAUAGAAUCGAUUAUUGAUUGAAGAACACGUUCUUCAACAUUAAUUAGGCUUUUCUAUACUCUGCUCUCUUCACCAAAAUUGGUUGGUGCUCCAACUCCUAGUGUAUGACAAACCAAUGUCAAAUUAGAAAAUGGAUCUGUUUUUCUUUUUAUUUUCCCUCCUUCAUCAUGACCCCUAUGCCAUGCUGUCUGUUUCUUUAUUUAGAGCUCAUCCACUUUAGAACACAUCCAUUUCACCCUCUUGUGUUCCAAUUUCUUCACAACUGCUCCAUCUUUUCAGUUCUCCAGAGGUUGCUACUUGAUGCACAAUCCAAGGUUCGGAUUGGGCAGUAUUUAUUCAAGACAAGAGUGGGUGAAACAACUGCUCCCAGAUGAAUGGCAACGCUUUUCAAAUAAGAAUUCAUUGAGUUCAACCAAAAAAACGACAUGAAAAAAAUAAAGAACUACGGUACCCGUAGUUAAUCUGAGUUAUAUGAGAUUAAGAAAUGGAAGAACAAUUUUGCAAAAGAAGCGGUAUCCCAUCUAGAAGAUAAUUGCUGAUAACAGCUAAGUUCUUCUGUUCUUUUAAAUUGUCGAAAUAUUUUUUUUUUUGGAACACUCGUACCAGAUGAAUACAAGUGCAUCCUCUAAAAUAAGGCGUCGAGAAAAUCGUGGACCCAUUUAAAAAUUAAAACCCCCACGCAACACAGCAUCACGGCAUCACAGAUGUUGAUGCUAGUGCUGCAAGGAAUGGAGGAGGAGGUACCUUGAGGCCGGGAGUAUUGCCUUUGGUGACUCGAUUCUCAGCAAUGUGGCAGGCCAUGACUUCUUCCCACCGAAAGUUGAAUCGUGACACCAAAAGGGUAGUGAAGAAGGGGACCUGGAGAGAGCAAGGAGGAAGAGUGGAGUCAGAAUGGAGGCGGACGCGAGCAAGUAGUCGAGGGAAGAGGUGAGAAGGGGGGAGUUGUCGCUUGUCGGGCCUG
rnacentral:lncRNA from 1 species